AGACUAACUCGAGACAUG
rnacentral:siRNA from 1 species